rnacentral:rRNA from 1 species
CAAUAGCGUAUAUUAAAGUUGUUGCGGUUAAAAAGCUCGUAGUUGGAUUUCUGUUGAGAGCGGCCGGUCCACCUUUUGGGUGAGUAUCUGGAUUGGUCUCGGCAUCCUCACAACGAAUGUUUCUGCGCUUGAUUGCGUGGUAUAGGCGUUGUGACUUUACUUUGGGAAGUAAUGAGUGUGUCUACGGCAGGCAUACGCCUUGAAUAUAUUAGCAUGGAAUAAUACUAUAGGAUUUCGGUUCUAUUUUGUUGGUUUCUAGAGCUGAAAUAAUGAUUAAUAGGGACAAUUGGGGCAUUCGUAUUGACGAGUCAGAGGUGAAAUUCUUGGAUUUCGUCACGACGAACUACUGCGAAAGCAUUUGCCAAGGAUGUUUCAUUGAUCAAGAACGAAAGUAAGGGGAUCGAAGAUGAUCAGAUACC